rnacentral:rRNA from 1 species
GGCGUAAUGAUGGCCAGGCUGUCUCCACCCGAGACUCAGUGAAAUUGAACUCGCUGUGAAGAUGCAGUGUACCCGCGGCAAGACGGAAAGACCCCGUGAACCUUUACUAUAGCUUGACACUGAACAUUGAGCCUUGAUGUGUAGGAUAGGUGGGAGGCUUUGAAGUGUGGACGCCAGUCUGCAUGGAGCCGACCUUGAAAUACCACCCUUUAAUGUUUGAUGUUCUAACGUGGACCCGUGAUCCGGGUUGCGGACAGUGUCUGGUGGGUAGUUUGACUGGGGCGGUCUCCUCCUAAAGAGUAACGGAGGAGCACGAAGGUUGGCUAAUCCUGGUCGGACAUCAGGAGGUUAGUGCAAUGGCAUAAGCCAGCUUGACUGCGAGCGUGACGGCGCGAGCAGGUGCGAAAGCAGGUCAUAGUGAUCCGGUGGUUCUGAAUGGAAGGGCCAUCGCUCAACGGAUAAAAGGUACUCCGGGGAUAACAGGCUGAUACCGCCCAAGAGUUCAUAUCGACGGCGGUGUUUGGCACCUCGAUGUCGGCUCAUCACAUCCUGGGGCUGAAGUAGGUCCCAAGGGUAUGGCUGUUCGCCAUUUAAAGUGGUACGCGAGCUGGGUUUAGAACGUCGUGAGACAGUUCGGUCCCUAUCUGCCGUGGGCGCUGGAGAACUGAGGGGGGCUGCUCCUAGUACGAGAGGACCGGAGUGGACGCAUCACUGGUGUUCGGGUUGUCAUGCCAAUGGCACUGCCCGGUAGCUAAAUGCGGAAGAGAUAAGUGCUGAAAGCAUCUAAGCACGAAACUUGCCCCGA